AGUGAACGCUGGCGGUAGGCCUAACACAUGCAAGUCGAACGGCAGCACAGUAAGAGCUUGCUCUUACGGGUGGCGAGUGGCGGACGGGUGAGGAAUACAUCGGAAUCUACUUUUUCGUGGGGGAUAACGUAGGGAAACUUACGCUAAUACCGCAUACGACCUACGGGUGAAAGCAGGGGAUCUUCGGACCUUGCGCGAUUGAAUGAGCCGAUGUCGGAUUAGCUAGUUGGCGGGGUAAAGGCCCACCAAGGCGACGAUCCGUAGCUGGUCUGAGAGGAUGAUCAGCCACACUGGAACUGAGACACGGUCCAGACUCCUACGGGAAGCAGCAGUGGGGAAUAUUGGACAAUGGGCGCAAGCCUGAUCCAGCCAUACCGCGUGGGUGAAGAAGGCCUUCGGGUUGUAAAGCCCUUUUGUUGGGAAAGAAAAGCAGCAGGUUAAUACCCCGCUGUUCCGACGGUACCCAAAGAAUAAGCACCGGCUAACUUCGUG
rnacentral:rRNA from 1 species